rnacentral:rRNA from 1 species
AUGGGGUGCAGCAGGCGAGAAAACUUUGCAAUGUGCGAAAGCACGACAAGGUUAAUCCGAGUGAUUUCUGCUAAAGAAAUCUUUUGCCAGUCAUAAAACCACUGGUGAAUAAGGGGUGGGCAAGUUCUGGUGUCAGCCGCCGCGGUAAAACCAGCACCUCAAGUGGUCAGGAUGAUUAUUGGGCCUAAAGCAUCCGUAGCCGGCUUUGUAAGUUUUCGGUUAAAUCCAUGUGCUCAACGCAUGGGCUGCCGAAAAUACUGCAUGGCUAGGGAGUGGGAGAGGUAGACGGUACUCAGUAGGAAGGGGUAAAAUCCUUUGAUCUAUUGAUGACCACCUGUGGCGAAGGCGGUCUACCAGAACACGUUCGACGGUGAGGGAUGAAAGCUGGGGGAGCAAACCGGAUUAGAUACCCGGGUAGUCCCAGCUGUAAACGAUGCAGACUCGAUGAUGCAUUGGCAUAAUAGCCAGUGCAGUGUCGCAGGGAAGCCGUUAAGUCUGCCGCCUGGGAAGUACGUACGCAAGUAUGAAACUUAAAGGAAUUGGCGGGGGAGCAC